rnacentral:rRNA from 1 species
CAUUCCUACGGGAGGCAGCAGUAGGGAAUCUUCCACAAUGGGCGAAAGCCUGAUGGAGCAACGCCGCGUGGGUGAAGAGGGUCUUCGGAUCGUAAAACCCUGUUGUUAGAGAAGAAAGUGCGUGAGAGUAACUGUUCACGUUUCGACGGUAUCUAACCAGAAAGCCACGGCUAACUACGUGCCAGCAGCCGCGGUAAUACGUAGGUGGCAAGCGUUAUCCGGAUUUAUUGGGCGUAAAGGGCACGCAGGCGGUCUUUUAAGUUUGAUGUGAAAGCCUUCGGCUU